rnacentral:rRNA from 1 species
UAUCUGCCCUCAGGAGGGGGAUAACGGCUGGAAACGGCCGCUAAUACCCCAUAUGCCGAGAGGUGAAAAGAAAUUCGCCUGAGGAUGAGCCCGCGUCUGAUUAGCUAGUUGGUGGGGUAAGAGCUCACCAAGGCGACGAUCAGUAGCUGGUCUGAGAGGAUGAUCAGCCACACUGGGACUGAGACACGGCCCAGACUCCUACGGGAGGCAGCAGUGGGGAAUUUUCCGCAAUGGGCGAAAGCCUGACGGAGCAACGCCGCGUGAGGGAUGAAGGCCUCUGGGCUGUAAACCUCUUUUCUCAAGGAAGAAGACAUGACGGUACUUGAGGAAUAAGCCACGGCUAAUUCCGUGCCAGCAGCCGCGGUAAUACGGGAGUGGCAAGCGUUAUCCGGAAUUAUUGGGCGUAAAGCGUCCGCAGGCGGCCCUGUAAGUCUGUCGUUAAAGCGUGGAGCUUAACUCCAUUUAAGCGAUGGAAACUACAGGGCUUGAGUGUGGUAGGGGCAGAGGGAAUUCCCGGUGUAGCGGUGAAAUGCGUAGAUAUCGGGAAGAACACCAGUGGCGAAGGCGCUCUGCUGGGCCAUAACUGACGCUCAUGGACGAAAGCCAGGGGAGCGAAAGGGAUUAGAUACCCCUGUAGUCCUGGCCGUAAACGAUGAACACUAGGUGUCGGGGGAAUCGACCCCCUCGGUGUCGUAGCCAACGCGUUAAGUGUUCCGCCUGGGGAGUACGCACGCAAGUGUGAAACUCAAAGGAAUUGACGGGGGCCCGCACAAGCGGUGGAGUAUGUGGUUUAAUUCGAUGCAACGCGAAGAACCUUACCAGGGUUUGACAUCCUGCGAAUCCCUUGGAAACGAGGGAGUGCCUUCGGGAGCGCAGAGACAGGUGGUGCAUGGCUGUCGUCAGCUCGUGUCGUGAGAUGUUGGGUUAAGUCCCGCAACGAGCGCAACCCACGUCUUUAGUUGCCAGCAUUCAGUUGGGCACUCUAGAGAGACCGCCGGUGAUAAACCGGAGGAAGGUGUGGAUGACGUCAAGUCAUCAUGCCCCUUACAUCCUGGGCUACACACGUACUACAAUGCUACGGACAAAGGGCAGCAAGCUCGCGAGAGUUAGCAAAUCCCAUAAACUGUGGCUCAGUUCAGAUCGUAGGCUGCAACUCGCCUACGUGAAGGAGGAAUCGCUAGUAAUCGCAGGUCAGCAUACUGCGGUGAAUACGUUCCCGGGCCUUGUACACACCGCCCGUCACACCAUGGAAGUUGGCCAUGCCCGAAGUCGUUACUCCAACCC